CUGACUUACCCAGACUCUACAUUAAGUAAAAUAGUAAGAAGUUAGAGAUCUAAUCCAAGUCAAGGCUCCAGUUGCCUGAGCAAAGCCUUGGGUUUUCAAAUUCCCUGGAAGGGAGUAUAAGCUAUUACAGUGGAUCUGGGAUAGGGGAAUGGAUGGUGAUCUUUCUCAGAAAAGUGUGUUAUUUUUUUGAUAGGUGGUUUUGACCUCUUUGCCAGCGAGGUAAUUGAGAGACCAGUCUGGGACUUACAUCUGGAAGCAACCUGGGUACAGGGUGAGGGAGACAUGUACAUUAAACAAACUGAUCUUGAACAUUCAGAAGCUCUUCAGAGAACAGCAUAGAUUUUUCUGAGCCGGUUUUCCUGCAGGAUGGCCAUGACACAACAUGCUUCAGCCCAGAAGAUCCUAGGCACAGUUGCAAUAUAUUCUGUAGCUACGGCAACACUGGAUCCUUCAACCCGCUGUGCUGGGCUGGGCAUCAAACUUGUGCCCUGGCGCUGCAGAGACACCACCAAUCCCGUUGCAGCACAGCAGGAACUCCACAUGUGAGUCCUCACUCAGAGAAUACCUUUUCAAGGAAAUGGAUGAAAUUAAUCUCUUUCCCUCGGAUAAAAAGAGUCUCAGAACUGGAGAAGCAUUUUGUUUAAUUCCCUAAAAAGAUAUCCAACCUAUCCAAGCCCUCGAGACAAAGGAGGAAUUGGAACCCCUGAUAUCCCAGAGUUCCUUCAUAACUCUCCACUGCUUCCUUUGGGCCUCAGAUAAGGCAAAAAUUUUAACUAGAGUGUGACUGUUAUGAGUGUUUUCCUUGAGAGGAAGUGAGAUUUGGUGUUCAGAUAACUCUCCACAACCUGAUGUGUGCACUUGGGGUUAAGUGCUUGUUACUAUGAAUAAAGCUCUGUGGUCCAGGAGUUGUUUUCUGAAGCUCAGUGCUGGAAACAUCUGUCAUCUACCAUUUGCUACAUGACAGUUCAGUUGAUUAAAGAAUGAUGUUAAUGA